rnacentral:snoRNA from 17 species
GCCGAUGAUGGCAACAGGGUAGCUGCCGAUUGAUGACGAAGCCGUUCCAGUCUGAGG